GCUUUCAAAGGAUAACAGCCCAUCCGUUGGUCUUAGGAACCAAAAACUCUUGGUGCAAACCCAAGUGAAAGCU
rnacentral:tRNA from 1 species